rnacentral:rRNA from 1 species
GACGUAGGAUGCAAGCAUUGUCCGGAUUUAUUGGGCGUAAAGAGUUCGUAGGCGGUUUGUUAAGUCUAAUGUUAAAGAUCAGGGCUCAACCCUGGGACUGCAUUGGAUACUGGCAGACUGGAGUGUGGUAGAGGUAAGUGGAAUUUCUGGUGUAGCGGUGAAAUGCGUAGAUAUCAGGAAGAACACCAGUGGCGUAGGCGACUUACUGGGCCAUAACUGACGCUCAUGUGCGAAAGCGUGGGGAGCAAACAGG